CCGUGAAAAAAUUAGAGUGUUCAAAGCAGGCAGAUCCAAUUUUCUGCCACCGAAUACAUUAGCAUGGGAUAAUGGAAUAGGACCCUGUCCUCCUAUUUUCAGUUGGUUUUGGCAGCGCGAGGACUAGGGUAAUGAUUAAUAGGGAUAGUUGGGGGCAUUAAUAUUUAAUUGUCAGAGGUGAAAUUCUUGGAUUUAUGAAAGAUUAACUUCUGCGAAAGCAUCUGCCAAGGAUGUUUUCAUUAAUCAAGAACGAAAGUUAGGGGAUCGAAGACGAUCAGAUACCGUCGUAGUCUUAACCAUAAACGAUGCCGACCAGCGAUUAGGAGACGUUGAAUACAAAACACCACCAUCGGCGCGGUCGUCCUUGGCGUCUCGGUUUCGGCCGGGGCGCGGGGACGGCUUAGCCCGGUGGCACCGGUGAAUGACUCCCCUAGCAGCUUGUGAGAAA
rnacentral:rRNA from 1 species